UCAGAGGUCCCAAGCGUUGUUCGGAUUCAUUGGGCGUAAAGGGUGCGUAGGCGGCGCGGUAAGUCGGGUGUGAAAUCUCGGAGCUUAACUCCGAAACUGCAUUCGAUACUGCCGUGCUUGAGGACUGGAGAGGAGACUGGAAUUUACGGUGUAGCGGUGAAAUGCGUAGAUAUCGUAAGGAAGACCAGUGGCGAAGGCGGGUCUCUGGACAGUUCCUGACGCUGAGGCACGAAGGUCAGGGGAGCAAACGGG
rnacentral:rRNA from 1 species